rnacentral:sRNA from 1 species
CCGUCCGCUCUUCGGAAUGCCUUCGAGACGCGGCCCCCUCGGCGGCUACUCUGGCCAGGUGUGCGUUCCGUCCCCCGCGGGCGGGCGGCGCAUAGCCGACAGCCGUCGCAUCCCAGGGAGCAGUUCCAUG